GCCGCGAAUUCGCCCUUAGGGUUUGAUUCUGGCUCAGGAUGAACGCUAGCGGCAGGCCUAAUACAUGCAAGUCGGACGGGAUCCAUCGGCGAGCUUGCUCGAAGAUGGUGAGAGUGGCGCACGGGUGCGUAACGCGUGAGCAACCUACCUCUAUCAGGGGGAUAGCCUCUCGAAAGAGAGAUUAACACCGCAUAACAUCAACAGUUCGCAUGUUCGGCUGAUUAAAUAUUUAUAGGAUAGAGAUGGGCUCGCGUGACAUUAGCUAGUUGGUAGGGUAACGGCUUACCAAGGCGACGAUGUCUAGGGGCUCUGAGAGGAGAAUCCCCCACACUGGUACUGAGACACGGACCAGACUCCUACGGGAGGCAGCAGUAAGGAAUAUUGGUCAAUGGGCGGAAGCCUGAACCAGCCAUGCCGCGUGCAGGAAGACUGCCCUAUGGGUUGUAAACUGCUUUUGUCCAGGAAUAAACCCAGAUACGUGUAUCUGGCUGAAUGUACUGGAAGAAUAAGGAUCGGCUAACUCCGUGCCAGCAGCCGCGGUAAUACGGAGGAUCCGAGCGUUAUCCGGAUUUAUUGGGUUUAAAGGGUGCGUAGGCGGCCAAUUAAGUCAGGGGUGAAAUACGGUGGCUCAACCAUCGCAGUGCCUUUGAUACUGAUUGGCUUGAAUCCAUUUGAAGUGGGCGGAAUAAGACAAGUACGGUGAAAUGCAUAAUNUGUCUUAGAA
rnacentral:rRNA from 1 species